GAAGAAACUAGCGUUUAAACAAAAUGCUUUCUCAUCCAGUGUCAUCACUGGUAGCCCUGAAAGGCUGCUUUCAGCCUGCUGCAAAACAGCCUUGCAGAGACCUGAACACCUGCUGAAUGCCUGCCUUAAACCAGGGCCUUCCCAAAAUCCUCCCCUACAGCCCUGUGCCCCCAUCACAGCAUAUCCCCACUAAGCAGGGCAGCAGCCUGACCUGACAGCUGUGCGUUUUACAGCACUGGGCUCAGUGCUUACUGCUUCCACUCAAAUCCAUGCCACAGAAGACCUCUGCGGAUCCUGAGGAACCCUUUGGGAAAGCUGCAGGAGGCACAGAGGGCAAGAACUUCUAUUUCACGCACAGCAGCGCAAACACAGUGCGAAGCUCCUCCGGAGAGCCCAGCUGUGCGUGUAGCUGCUGGAGAGGAACAAACAGAGAGGAUGCUGCUGAUAAACACCGCAGACACAACAUGAUGCGUGCUUAAGAGCAAAGCAGAGCGCUGGAACACGCUGCAACAGCCUCCUCCUGGGGAUAAAGCUUUCAGCAGCUUGGGAUGAAACGGAGCGCAGAGCGGUGGGAUCACUGAAAUGCUGGCACGGAGCGGACUGCAGCCCCGAGCUGUGCUACUCACAGUGACAAAGUGCACUCAUUCGAUGCAGUGGGAGCGAAGGCAGUGCCCACUCGUGGCCAAGAGAAAGGGAAAUUAAAGAAAAAGUAAAAAUAUCUUUCGUUUGGCGGUUGGACACAUCAUGCUCCAGGAGAGCCUUCCUGUAACAGAGGCAAAAUGAGGAAACUCCGUAUCGACGGCGCUCAGAACUCAUCAUUUUUCAGGAGUUGGACUCAUAGCUCUGAUUCUUACAGCAGUGCAUUUUCAGGCUCAGGAGAGGCACUCCGACCGCCAAGGAAACCUCAGAAGUGAGAAGCGAGGAGCCUUCCUGUCCUCUAUCAGCCCUCCAGCUGGGCACGGAGCCAGAGGCUCAAUGUGUGAAGGGAAGUGAGCUUCACUGUGUCACCUGCAGCCCCAAACACCAACGUCAUCUGGAAUUAGUCCGCUUUUCCUCAUUUCCCAACGCUUUGUUUGCAAAAACAUCCAUUUUGGAGGAGGGAUUUAGGAUUUGUGCUUACAAACAAAACAGAAUAUGACUUGCAUAGCGGGAGCAGCGCAGCGUUGCAUGGCUGUCUCUGGACAUGUUUACACAGCUGGCCAUAUACCGUGGAAGCAUAUUUUCUCAGGAGGCAGUGUGGUCUCGUGGAACGAGCACGGCUAAGGAGUCAGGAACUCCCACGUUGUAGUUUUGGGUCACCAGUGAUUUGCUUUGGUGCACAGAGCCAUUUAACCCCUGUGCCUACCAGCGUCCCAAUCGCUAACGAGCAGCGGUAACGAUCACCUCUCUGCAGCAGCGUGAUGCUGAGGAUCAAUGCAUUAAUCCUGGGGCAGGAGAGGACUAGGAUCCUGAUGCACACAGCGUCAAAAACAACCUGAAAAAGACCUUCUCCCAUCUUCACCCCCCACGGGUUUGAGUUAGGCAGUCUGUAUCAGAAGCGAUGCGUUGGACAGCUCUUGUGGAAGUCGUUCUGCUCAGAACUGAGAGCACCUGUAAGCGCAGUACUGCCAUUGCUCUCCUCUCCCAGCAAUGAAGGAAGUCGAGCCUUCUUGGUAAGACCACAUCAGCUUUCUGCAUCCUCAGUGCAGUGAAAAAGCAAACACGGAACUUCUCUUCUAGCCUAUGAACAUUCAUGACAAAAACCCACAGAUUUCCAAAAAGCUGAGGAAGGUAUCAGACACUGCCUCUGCACAGAAGAUUGCGUGGUGGUGGGAUUAUAAAUACCAUGAAAUGAUUGGCUCUAGCUCAGUUAAAAAAUCAAAUGGAACCAACAUUCAUACCGCAUUAGGGCCCAUAUGCUGACUGCACAGCUUCUUCUUAGCAGUGCAGCCCCUGCUAUGGGAAUCGGACUCAGGCACUCCGUUUGAGACACUUUUGCAUUGAGAUUACCAAGCAGACUUCCCAUUUAACCCAGAAACCGCAUGCAAACCAAUCCAUAUAGCUUCUGGGUGACAAGGAUGGGAAUAAUCCUACAGGAAGAUAUUAUAGCUGAUAGUGUAACUGCGAUCUUACCCUUUAAACAUCCUUGCUUUCUUCUCCCAGUGUUGUUACGUCUGGUCACUGCGUUAAUAAAGGUUUUAUUGGUGGAAAACCGGAGAUCAUCCACCAAAAUAACAUCUCC
ensembl:lncRNA